CCUAAGCCUAGGGGUGAGCGUAGGAUUAGAUUUGCAUCCUGGAACAUUGGAUCUUUGACGGGUAAGAGUAUGGAGUUGAUUGAUGCUAUGCGAAGAAGAAGAAUUAAUGUGGCAUGCAUUCAAGAAACUAGAUGGAAGGGUCACAAAGCGAAGGCAUUAGAUGAUUUCAAACUAUGGUACUUGGGAGAUGAAAGUGGGAGAGGUGGAGUGGGCAUAGUUGUGGACAAAGACCUUAAGAACGAAGUAGUGGAUGUUAAAAGAUUAGGGGAUAGGAUCAUAUCUAUCAAGCUGGUGCUAGACAACGAGGUUAUCAACAUUGUUAGCGCGUACGCACCCCAAGCAGGUUUGGAUGACAGUGUUAAAAUACAAUUCUGGGAGCACAUGGAUGGAUUAGUACAGGGUUUUGGUUUGGGAGAGAAAAUUAUUAUUGGAGGGGAUCUUAACGGACAUGUGGGCAGGGAUCGUAGAGGCUUUGAAGAGGUUCACGGAGGAUACGGAGUUGGAGAGAGGAAUGAAGAGGGGAUAUCAGUGUUAGACUUUGCGAUAGCGUUUGACCUGUGCAUUGCAAAUACCUUUUUUAAAAAGAGAGAUGAACAUUUAAUUACCUACAAGAGUGGGCACCAUGCAAGCCAA